GAUGAACGCUGGCGGCGUGCCUAAUACAUGCAAGUCGAGCGAACGGACGAGAAGCUUGCUUUUCUGAUGUUAGCGGCGGACGGGUGAGUAACACGUGGAUAACCUACCUAUAAGACUGGGAUAACUUCGGGAAACCGGAGCUAAUACCGGAUAAUAUUUUGAACCGCAUGGUUCAAAAGUGAAAGACGGUCUUGCUGUCACUUAUAGAUGGAUCCGCGCUGCAUUAGCUAGUUGGUAAGGUAACGGCUUACCAAGGCAACGAUGCAUAGCCGACCUGAGGGGGUGAUCGGCCACACUGGAACUGAGACACGGUCAAGACUCCUACGGGAGGCAGCAGUAGGGAAUCUUCCGCAAUGGGCGAAAGCCUGACGGAGCAACGCCGCGUGAGUGAUGAAGGUCUUCGGAUCGUAAAACUCUGUUAUUAGGGAAGAACAUAUGUGUAAGUAACUGUGCACAUCUUGACGGUACCUAAUCAGAAAGCCACGGCUAACUACGUG
rnacentral:rRNA from 1 species